rnacentral:rRNA from 1 species
AUGCACGCUGGCGGCGUGCCUAAUACAUGCAAGUAGCACGCUGAAGGCGGAGCUUGCUCUUCUGGAUGAGUUGCGAACGGGUGAGUAACGCGUAGGUAACCUGCCUGGUAGCGGGGGAUAACUAUUGGAAACGAUAGCUAAUACCGCAUGACAACAGUUAUUGCAUGAUAACUGUUUAAAAGGGGCAACUGCUCCACUACCAGAUGGACCUGCGUUGUAUUAGCUAGUUGGUGAGGUAACGGCUCACCAAGGCGACGAUACAUAGCCGACCUGAGAGGGUGAUCGGCCACACUGGGACUGAGACACGGCCCAGACUCCUACGGGAGGCAGCAGUAGGGAAUCUUCGGCAAUGGACGGAAGUCUGACCGAGCAACGCCGCGUGAGUGAAGAAGGGUUUCGGAUCGUAAAGCUCUGUUGUAAGAGAAGAACGAGUGUGAGAGUGGAAAGUUCACACUGUGACGGUAUCUUACCAGAAAGGGACGGCUAACUACGUG